rnacentral:rRNA from 1 species
AGAACCUUACCCAGGCUCGAAAUGCAGAUGGCGAUAACAGAGAUGUUAUUUCUCGUAAGGACAUCUGUAUAGGUGCUGCAUGGCUGUCGUCAGCUCGUGCCGUGAGGUGUUGGGUUAAGUCCCGCAACGAGCGCAACCCUUAUCAUUAGUUGCCAACACGCAAGGUGGGGACUCUAAUGAGACUGCCUAGGUUAACUAGGAGGAAGGUGAGGAUGACGUCAAGUCCGCAUGGCCUUUAUGUCUGGGGCUACACACGUGCUACAAUGGUCGGUACAGAAGGCAGCAAGACCGUAAGGUGGAGCAAAUCCGUAAAACCGAUCUCAGUUCAGAUUGUAGUCUGCAACUCGACUACAUGAAGCUGGAAUUGCUAGUAAUGACGUGUCAGCAACAACGUCGUGAAUACGUUCCCGGGCCUUGUCACACCGA